UACGUAGGGGGCUAGCGUUGUCCGGAUUUAUUGGGCGUAAAGGGCGCGUAGGCGGGAUGGCAAGUCGGUCGUGAAAUCCUUCGGCUCAACCGAAGAACGUCGGCCGAUACUGCCGUUCUUGAGGGAUGCAGAGGAGAUUGGAAUUCCCAGUGUAGCGGUGAAAUGCGUAGAUAUUGGGAGGAACACCGGUGGCGAAGGCGGCUACCUGGACCGGUACUGACGCUGAGGCGCGAAAGCUAGGGUAGCAAACAGG
rnacentral:rRNA from 1 species